GCGGAGUAUUCCAGGCGCCUGCAACUAAACGUGGCCGGGUCUGCAAGCUAGGUGCCAGCGGGGAAAGUUUCCCUGCUUCUUAUCGUCUGCUUUAACGCCUUAAAUAGCCCGCUGAAGGCUGCAGCAGGUGCUAGGUAGCAGCCUCCCGGCCCUCGGGAAAGGCGGGGUGGGGAGGCGAGAGCAGCUUAGCCUCCUCGACCUCCCUUCCUGGUGACGGACGAACAGUUCCCGUAGAAUUUCGCUUCACCGAGUGACCUUGAGCCCAGGGCGACGGUCAGCUUGUUAAUUCCUGGCUGCAGGAACCCUGCCUACGCCAUGAGGACAGGCCCAGGCUAGCCUUCGGAUGAUGAGAGACCUGUGGCCCUGCUAAGCAGCAGACGUGAGAGAUGCCAUCUUGGAGCUGCUAGCUGUGGUCCACCCAUCAGCGCCUGCAGGCACAUGCUGAGAUUAGUCGAUUUCCUAAAAGUUGAAGGAAAAAUCACCCAGCUGACCUGUUUGGGUUAUGAUUUUAACUCACUAAGCUUUGGGGAGCUUUAUUACACAGCAG
rnacentral:lncRNA from 10 species